rnacentral:rRNA from 1 species
AUUGAACGCUGGCGGCAUGCUUUACACAUGCAAGUCGAACGGUAACAGGUUAAGCUGACGAGUGGCGAACGGGUGAGUAAUGCAUCGGAACGUGCCCGGUCGUGGGGGAUAACACUUCGAAAGUAGCGCUAAUACCGCAUACGAUCUGAGGAUGAAAGCGGGGGACCGUAAGGCCUCGCGCGAUCGGAGCGGCCGGUGUCAGGUUAGGUAGUUGGUGGGGUAAAGGCCCACCAAGCCGACGAUCUGUAGCUGGUCUGAGAGGACGACCAGCCACACUGGGACUGAGACACGGCCCAGACUCCUACGGGAGGCAGCAGUGGGGAAUUUUGGACAAUGGGCGCAAGCCUGAUCCAGCAAUGCCGCGUGCAGGAAGAAGGCCUUCGGGUUGUAAACUGCUUUUGUACGGAGCGAAAAGGCUCUCUCUAAUACAGGGGGCUGAUGACGGUACCGUAAGAAUAAGCACCGGCUAACUACGUGCCAGCAGCCGCAGUAA